ensembl:lncRNA
UUGGAGGGAACUCUUGCUGUAAUCUCUGUGUGUGUGUGUGUGUGUGUGUGUGUGUGUGUGUGUGUGUGUUAAUAUAGUUAUCCAUACGUCGUCCACUGUUCUCUUUGUCUAGUGAGAGAGUCUCUGUGGAAUCAUUAGUGACUGCGGCUCCGGUGUCCUCUGCCCAUCUCAUCGCUGAUCUGUGUGUUAAUUAUAUAUCAGUGUGACGGAGACCUGGGCUUGUUGCAGCUCUAACGAAGGCAAGGAUAUCAGCACCUUUAUAUGGAAGGUGUGUGUGACAGAGACGAUGUGACACGUGUGAUACAUUAAAAUGCAACGUGUGACAAAUUACAACUUCAUGAGAAAAAUAAUAACAUACAAGUUUGGGAAGACAUGGAGUGCUUUCACCUCUUCAAACCUCUUGACACCCCGGAGCCAGGAUGUGGGGUUCGCUGAUGGCAAACACUCGACAGCUCCAGCAUUAGCAACAGUCUGACAGAUUUGAAGAUAUCAGAAACAGACACAGAAGGAAAACAUUCUUCAUUUGAGAACAACAGGUAUGAAUACAGACAGAAAUAGUUGGAAACUGUUGUAACAAAUACACUCGGAAAAAUUAUGGAACAAAACUAAGACAAAAGAUAUUUCAGA